rnacentral:rRNA from 1 species
GAACGCUAGCUACAGGCUUAACACAUGCAAGUCGAGGGGCAGCAUGAGAGUAGCUUGCUACUCUGAUGGCGACCGGCGCACGGGUGCGUAACACGUAUCCAAUCUACCCAUGGCUCAGGAAUAGCCUUUCGAAAGAAAGAUUAAUGCCCGAUGGUCUGUCAAUGAGACAUCUCGCAGGCAGUAAAGAUUUAUCGGCGAUGGAUGAGGAUGCGUCUGAUUAGGUAGAUGGCGGGGUAACGGCCCACCAUGCCGACGAUCAGUAGGGGUUCUGAGAGGAAGGUCCCCCACAUUGGAACUGCGACACGGUCCAAACUCCUACGGGAGGCAGCAGUGAGGAAUAUUGGUCAAUGGCCGGAAGGCUGAACCAGCCAAGUAGCGUGCAAGGAUGACGGCCCUAUGGGUUGUAAACUGCUUUUGUACGGGAAUAACGGUCGCCACGCGUGGUGAUGUGCAUGUACCGUACGAAUAAGGAUCGGCUAACUCCGUGCCAGCCGCGGC